rnacentral:lncRNA from 1 species
GACUUUGGAAAUUAAAAACAUGUCAACUCUUACUGGCAUAUUGGAGGGACCAUGGGCUAUAAUUUUCUUCUCUCUCUUUUUUUUCUCUGGUGGAUACUGAGGUACCUCUAAUUCUACUGCCGGACACUUAUCCAUUUAUUCUGCGAGGUUGUCGAGCACUUGCUCCUUUUUAUUUCCUCAAAAUAUUCAUAUUUUAGCAUAGCCCAUGCCUCUAAUGCAAUAAUACUUCGAAAGAGUGAAUCUUUCUGAAUAAAUGCCUUGAUCUUAGGA